rnacentral:rRNA from 1 species
UGGCUCGAGGACGAACGCUGGCGGCAUGCCUAAUACAUGCAAGUCGAACGAAUCACUUCGGUGGUUAGUGGCGGACUGGUGAGUAACGCGUGAGGAACCUGCCUUUCAGAGGGGGACAACAGUUGGAAACGACUGCUAAUACCGCAUGACACAUUCGGGCGGCAUCGCUUGAAUGUCAAAGAUUUUAUCGCUGAAAGAUGGCCUCGCGUCUGAUUAGCUAGUUGGUAGGGUAACGGCCUACCAAGGCGACGAUCAGUAGCCGGACUGAGAGGUUGACCGGCCACAUUGGGACUGAGAUACGGCCCAGACUCCUACGGGAGGCAGCAGUGGGGAAUAUUGGGCAAUGGACGCAAGUCUGACCCAGCAACGCCGCGUGAAGGAAGAAGGCUUUCGGGUUGUAAACUUCUUUUAAGUGGGAAGAGUAGAAGACGGUACCACUUGAAUAAGCCACGGCUAACUACGUG